UACAGAGGUGGCAAGCGUUGUUCGGAAUUACUGGGCGUAAAGGGCGCGUAGGCGGCCUUCUAAGUCAGACGUGAAAUCCCCCGGCUUAACCUGGGAACUGCGUCUGAUACUGGGAGGCUUGAGUAUGGGAGAGGGAUGUAGAAUUCCAGGUGUAGCGGUGAAAUGCGUAGAUAUCUGGAGGAACACCGGUGGCGAAGGCGACUACCUGGCCUGUUCUUGACGCUGAGGCGCGAAAGCUAGGGGAGCAAACGGGG
rnacentral:rRNA from 1 species